AUUGUGUGUGCAGCCUGGCCCAUUGCCCGUGGCAGUCUACCUGCCACGAUGGGAAAGACGGUCUAGAUGGAGAAGAAAAGGAAGCACUGUUGUACGGAGCGCUCCCCUGGGUGCGUGCUCUCAGAGAUGCUCCCAGAGAUUCGUGCCAGGUGGAGAACACCAAAUACUCCAGCAAAUUAGCAUGCAAGGCAUUUAAGGAACUUGGUUUUCAGGAGGAUGAUACGUUUUGGACAUGAAAUGAAGUACACUUUCCUCCCUGGCUAACACUGCCCUGUUUUGAACUUUUCUGCGCAGAGCUCGGCAUGAAGACAGCUACUGAGUGUGCGUCUGAUGCAAUGUUGGCUGACGCUCCCUCUUGCCGGCUCCCGCUAUUGAACCAGACCCAAGUGCAAUGUUUAAUCUUACUAUACCUCUUCCAGUCCCCUCUCAGUGGAUGGUACCCUUCACAUACCAUCACUGCUCCCUCUUUCUCACCUUCUGUGGUAAGCUCCUGCCAAAAAUCUAACUUCAAGUCUGAGCAGUUUGACGUGUACACCGCCAUCUUGGUUUUUCACAGUGGAACCCGUGGAAACAACAUCAACACUAAGGCAAAUCUCUGUUGAGAGGGCCCCAGUGACAAAUAUAAAAACAAGAAAGUUAUUGGCCAUGUUUGCAAGUUUUAGCCAAGAGAGCUAUUAAAAAGAAUGGAAUUUAUUGUUAUUAGUUUCUGAAAGUGAUAGAAUUCUUCAUCUCCAUGAGCUCCUUUACUUGAUGAGCACUUAACAGUUUAAAGUUAACUUUAUAGGCAUUAUGCCAUGAGAUGUUUAUCAUAGCCCUGCUCGGCAAAUAGAUGAGGAAAUAUAGCUGUCCAUCUGCAAAAUUCCUUGUUCAGUGUCUCAGAGCUGCGUACUGGAUCCGAAAUUCAAUUCCAAGUAUUCUGACUCUACCCAGGGCUGUGUUCACAGAUAUACAGUUGCCUCCCACAAUGUGCCUAAUACCUAAUUAUUAAAUAUUCAUUAACUUGUUUAUCCAUCCAUUUUCUUUCAAUAAUAUUAAUUGUUUUCAUUGGGCAGAUACACGGUGUGUGAAAAAAAAUAAAAAAGCUUUAUCCAAGAGCUCA
rnacentral:lncRNA from 12 species